GGAGAGGUGGCAGAGUGGACGAAUGCACCGGUCUUGAAAACCGGAGCCCCGGCAACGGGGCCGAGGGUUCGAAUCCCUCCCUCUCCG
rnacentral:tRNA from 1 species